rnacentral:rRNA from 1 species
AGUGAACGCUGGCGGUAGGCCUAACACAUGCAAGUCGAACGGCAGCACAGUAAGAGCUUGCUCUUACGGGUGGCGAGUGGCGGACGGGUGAGGAAUACAUCGGAAUCUACUUUUUCGUGGGGGAUAACGUAGGGAAACUUACGCUAAUACCGCAUACGACCUACGGGUGAAAGCAGGGGAUCUUCGGACCUUGCGCGAUUGAAUGAGCCGAUGUCGGAUUAGAUAGUUGGCGGGGUAAAGGCCCACCAAGGCGACGAUCCGUAGCUGGUCUGAGAGGAUGAUCAGCCACACUGGAACUGAGACACGGUCCAGACUCCUACGGGAGGCAGCAGUGGGGAAUAUUGGACAAUGGGCGCAAGCCUGAUCCAGCCAUACCGCGUGGGUGAAGAAGGCCUUCGGGUUGCAAAGCCCUUUUGUUGGGAAAGAAAAGCAGCAGGUUAAUACCCCGCUGUUCUGACGGUACCCAAAGAAUAAGCACCGGCUAACUUCGUG